rnacentral:rRNA from 1 species
ACGGGAGGCAGCAGUGGGGAAUAUUGGGCAAUGGGGGAAACCCUGACCCAGCAACGCCGCGUGGAGGAAGAAGGUCUUCGGAUCGUAAACUCCUGUCCUCAAAGACGAGAAGAAGACGGUAUUUGAGGAGGAAGCCCCGGCUAACUACGUGCCAGCAGCCGCGGUAAUACGUAGGGGGCAAGCGUUGUCCGGAAUGAUUGGGCGUAAAGGGCGCGUAGGCGGCCUGUUAAGUCUGGAGUGAAAGUCCUGCUUUUAAGGUGGGAAUUGCUUUGGAUACUGAUGGGCUUGAGUGCAGGAGAGGUAAGUGGAAUUCCCAGUGUAGCGGUGAAAUGCGUAGAUAUCGGGAGGAACACCAGUGGCGAAGGCGGCUUACUGGGCUUUUACUGACGCUGAGGCCCGAAAGCAUGGGUAGCAAACAGGAUUAGAUACCCUGGUA